rnacentral:rRNA from 1 species
AAUCCUACGGGGGGCAGCAGUGGGGAAUAUUGCACAAUGGGGGAAACCCUGAUGCAGCAACGCCGCGUGAGUGAAGGAGUAUUUCGGUAUGUAAAGCUCUAUCAGCAGGGAAGAAGAUGACGGUACCUGAUUAAGAAGCCCCGGCUAACUACGUGCCAGCAGCCGCGGUAAUACGUAGGGGGCAAGCGUUAUCCGGAUUUACUGGGUGUAAAGGGAGCGCAGACGGCAGCGCAAGUCUGGAGUGAAAGCCCGGGGCCCAACCCCGGAACUGCUCUGGGAACGGUGAGGCUAGAGUACUGGAGGGG